rnacentral:misc_RNA from 1 species
GAUGAAGAACGUAGCGAAAUGCGAUAAGUAAUGCGAAUUGCAGAAUUUCCGUGAGUCAUCGAAUCUUUGAACGCACAUUGCGCCCACUGGUAUUCCGGUGGGCAUGCCUGUUCGAGCGUCAUUAUCCUCCCUCAAACCCCGGGUUUGGUGUUGGACCCAAGUUGUGUGAGCAACUGGUCUUAAAGACAAUGACGGCGUCCGUGGGACCCUCGGUGCAACGAGCUUUUAGGAGCACGCAUCGAGUUGCAAGGACCUUCCGGGCCGGUCUCCUUUACUAUUUUACAAGGUUGACCUCGGAUCAGGUAGGAAUACCCGCUGAACUUAAGCAUAUCAAUAAGCGGAGGA